CAAUAGCGUAUAUUAAAGUUGUUGCGGUUAAAAAGCUCGUAGUUGGAUUUCUGCUGAGGAUGACCGGUCCGCCCUGUGGGUGUACAUCUGGCUCAGCCUUGGCAUCUUCCUGAAGAACGUAGCUGCACUUGACUGUGUGGUGCGGUAUUUAGGACAUUUACUUUGAGGAAAUUAGAGUGUUUCAAGCAAGCGCACGCUUUGAAUACAUUAGCAUGGAAUAAUAAGAUAGGACCUUGGUUCUAUUUUGUUGGUUUCUAGAGCUGAGGUAAUGAUUGAUAGGGAUAGUUGGGGGCAUUCGUAUUUAACUGUCAGAGGUGAAAUUCUUGGAUUUGUUAAAGACGGACUACCGCGAAAGCAUUUGCCAAGGAUGUUUUCAUUGA
rnacentral:rRNA from 1 species